GAAACAAUCGACUGGCUACAUGAUGCAGAUCUUUUCCUCCAUCCUAACACUUUGUCUGGCCACUGCGGUGUACGGUUCCUUGAUUCCGAAUCUGAAUUUCGGUAACCUGUUCUCAUGUCCAGGCUUAUUCUGCCCUGGAUAUACCUUUCUCGCUCCUUUUCUCAGCUUUCUCUUUCCAAAUUCAAGCAUCACAACAACUGCUAGCGGCAGCACACCCGCAGGGAAUGUCUCGGUUAAUGCGACUGGCUGAUCGCGCUGACUAUGAAGAACCCCCGGAAUUUUGGCACUCAGGAAGAUCUAUUGAGGGCCAAUGCAAAGAAAUGCGCAUUUAUGCAUACUAAAUAAAGUGAUUUAAAACUA